rnacentral:rRNA from 1 species
GAUGAACGCUGGCGGCGUGCCUAAUACAUGCAAGUCGAGCGAACAGACGAGGAGCUUGCUCCUCUGACGUUAGCGGCGGACGGGUGAGUAACACGUGGAUAACCUACCUAUAAGACUGGGAUAACUUCGGGAAACCGGAGCUAAUACCGGAUAAUAUAUUGAACCGCAUGGUUCAAUAGUGAAAGACGGUUUUGCUGUCACUUAUAGAUGGAUCCGCGCCGCAUUAGCUAGUUGGUAAGGUAACGGCUUACCAAGGCAACGAUGCUUAGCCGACCUGAGAGGGUGAUCGGCCACACCGGAACUGAGACACGGUCCAGACUCCUACGGGAGGCGGCAGUAGGGAAUCUUCCGCAAUGGGCGAAAGCUUGACGGAGCAACGCCGCGUGAGUGAUGAAGGUCUUCGGAUCGUAAAACUCUGUUAUUAGGGAAGAACAAAUGUGUAAGUAACUAUGCACGUCUUGACGGUACCUAAUCAGAAAGCCACGGCUAACUACGUG